UGAGUAAUGUCUGGGAAACUGCCUGAUGGAGGGGGAUAACUACUGGAAACGGUGGCUAAUACCGCAUAACGUCGCAAGACCAAAGAGGGGGACCUUCGGGCCUCUUGCCAUCAGAUGUGCCCAGAUGGGAUUAGCUAGUAGGUGGGGUAAUGGCUCACCUAGGCGACGAUCCCUAGCUGGUCUGAGAGGAUGACCAGCCACACUGGAACUGAGACACGGUCCAGACUCCUACGGGAGGCAGCAGUGGGGAAUAUUGCACAAUGGGCGCAAGCCUGAUGCAGCCAUGCCGCGUGUGUGAAGAAGGCCUUCGGGUUGUAAAGCACUUUCAGCGAGGAGGAAGGUGGUGAACUUAAUACGUUCAUCAAUUGACGUUACUCGCAGAAGAAGCACCGGCUAACUCCGUGCCAGCAGCCGCGGUAAUACGGAGGGUGCAAGCGUUAAUCGGAAUUACUGGGCGUAAAGCGCACGCAGGCGGUUUGUUAAGUCAGAUGUGAAAUCCCCGGG
rnacentral:rRNA from 1 species